rnacentral:rRNA from 1 species
CGCAGCCGCGGUAAUUCCAGCUCCAAUAGCGUAUAUUAAAGUUGCUGCAGUUAAAAGCUCGUAGUUGAAUUUCGGGACCAAUAUGCCGGUCGUGCCUCGGUACGUACUGGCAUCGUUGGUUUCUCCCUUCUAACGAACCAUGAUGUCAUUUAUUUGGUGUCGUGGGGAAUCAGGACUGUUACUUUGAAAAAUUAGAGUGUUUAAAGCAGGCUCACGCUUGAAUACAUUAGCAUGGAAUAAUGAAAUAGGACGUUUGAUUCUAUUUUGUUGGUUUCUAGGAUCGACGUAAUGAUUAAUAGGGAUAGUUGGGGGCAUUAGUAUUCAAUUGUCAGAGGUGAAAUUCUUGGAUUUAUUGAAGACUAACUACUGCGAAAGCAUUUGCCAAGGAUGUUUUCAUUAAUCAAGAACGAAAGUUAGGGGAUCGAAGACGAUCAGAUACCGUCGUAGUCUUAACCCAUAAACUAUGCCGACUAGGGAUCGGAUGAUGUUAAUUUUUAAUGACUCA